rnacentral:tRNA from 2 species
UGGUCUGUAGCUCAGGUGGUAGAGCGUCCGCCUCCAAAGCGGAAUGUCGCGGGUUCGAAUCCUGCCGGGCCAG